UACGUAGGGUGCAAGCGUUGUCCGGAAUUAUUGGGCGUAAAGGGCUCGUAGGCGGUCCAUCGCGUCGGGAGUGAAAAGCUGGGGCUUAACCCCAGUCCUGCUUCCGAUACGGGUGGACUAGAGGUAGGUAGGGGAGAAUGGAAUUCCCGGUGUAGCGGUGAAAUGCGCAGAUAUCGGGAGGAACACCGGUGGCGAAGGCGGUUCUCUGGGCCUGACCUGACGCUGAGGAGCGAAAGCGUGGGGAGCGAACAGG
rnacentral:rRNA from 1 species